UGUGCUAUGAGGAUAAAAUUUUCUUCUGAUUAACCUUGAAGACUAGAAAUACGCUAUUCUGAGCCAUGC